rnacentral:rRNA from 1 species
AAUAUUGCACAAUGAGCGAAAGCUUGAUGCAGCAACGCCGCGUGCGCGAUGACGGCCUUCGGGUUGUAAAGCGCUUUUCGGGGAGAUGAGGAAGGACAGUAUCCCCGGAAUAAGUCUCGGCUAACUACGUGCCAGCAGCCGCGGUAACACGUAGGAGGCAAGCGUUAUCCGAAUUUACUGGGCGUAAAGCGCGUGCAGGCGGUUCGGUAAGUUGGAUGGUGAAAUCUCCCGGCUCAACUGGGAGGGGACGUUCAAGACUGUCGGACUUGAGGGCGAUAGAGGGAGGUGGAAUUCCCGGUGUAGUGGUGAAAUGCGUAGAUAUCGGGAGGAACACCAGUGGCGAAAGCGGCCUUCCUGGAUCGUUCCUGACGCUCAGACGCGAAAGCUAGGGGAGCGAACGGGAUUAGAAACCCCGGUAGUCCUAGCCGUAAACGAUGUAGACUUGGUGUUGGUGGGGUAAAAUCCAUCAGUGCCGAAGCUAACGCGAUAAGUCUACCGCCUGGGGACUACGGUCGCAAGGCUA